AGGGCAAACGGUGGAUGCCUUGGCACAGGAAGCCGACGAAGGACGCGACAAGCUGCGAUAAGCCACGGUUAGGGGCACUUGCCCGCUCGACCCGUGGAUCUCCGAAUGGGAAAACCCGGCGGGAGUCAUUUCCCGUCACGCCCGGCUGAACACAUAGGCCGGGCCGAGGCAACCGGGGGAACUGAAACAUCUAAGUACCCCGAGGAAGAGAAAUCAAACGAGAUUCCGCGAGUAGCGGCGAGCGAAAGCGGAGACGAGCCCAAACCCGUGCACGCGGUAAAGCCUGGGGGCGUUGCUGCACGCGGUGUUGUGGGACCGCCAAUCCCGGGGGCGCCCAGGCCCCGGGGCCAGUUGCAAAGCGGCGGGCUAGCGGAAGACGCCUGGAAAGGCGCGCGGAACAGGGUAACGGCCCCGUACGCGAAAGCCCGGACCGCCUGGCCUGGCGGCACCCGAGUAGGGCCGGACACGUGAAAUCCGGUCCGAACCAGGGGGGACCACCCUCCAAGGCUGAAUACUCUCCCAUGACCGAUAGCGAACGAGUACCGUGAGGGAAAGGUGAAAAGCACCCCGCGAGGGGAGUGAAACAGUACCUGAAACCGUGUGCCUACAAGCAGUCGGAGCGUCCCUUCCGGGGGCGUGACGGCGUGCCUUUUGUAGAAUGAGCCAGCGAGUUACGGGACGCUGCGAGGUUAAGCUUGGAAGCGAGCCGCAGCGAAAGCGAGUCUUUAAGAUGGCGUGAAGUUGCGUUCCGUAGACGCGAAGCCGGGUGAGCUAUCCAUGGGCAGGCUGAAGCGGGAGUAAGAUCUCGUGGAGGGCCGAACCCACUUCGGUUGAAAACGGAGGGGAUGACCUGUGGAUAGGAGUGAAAGGCUAAUCAAACCCGGAGAUAUCUCGUUCUCCCCGAAAUAGCUUUAGGGCUAGCCCCGGCCGCUUACUGGCGGAGGUAGAGCACUGGAUGGACAAGGGGGCCUCACCGCUUACCGCGUCCAGCCAAACUCCGAAUGCCGCCAGUCGACGAGGCCGGGAGUCAGAACAUGUGGGCUAAGCUGUGUGUUCGAGAGGGAAACAGCCCAGACCGCCCGCUAAGGUCCCAAAGUCAGUGCUGAGUGGCAAAGGAUGUGCGUCUGCCCAGACAACUAGGAUGUUGGCUUAGAAGCAGCCACCCAUUCAAAGAGUGCGUAACAGCUCACUAGUCGAGUGGACAUGCGCCGACAAUUCACGGGGCUAAGCACCGCACCGAAGCGGCGGGCCGGCGCGCCAUGCGUGGCGCGGCGGCGGUAGGGGAGCGUUCCGUACGGCUCGAAGCAGGCAGGGCGACCUCCUGUGGACCGUCCGGAAGCGCGAAUGCUGGCAUGAGUAACGAGAGAGGCGUGGGAAACGCCUCCGCCGUAAGUCCAAGGUUUCCUGGGCGAGGCUAAUCCCCCCAGGGUCAGUCGGGAGCUAAGGCGAGGCCGACAGGCGUAGCCGAUGCACAACAGGUGGACAUUCCUGUACCGUCUGGGGGACGUUCGUACCGACGGGGCGACGGAGGAGGAUAGCCGGGCGGGGUUCUGGACGUCCCCGUGAAAGCGCGUAGCCCGCGGCGCAGGGAAAUCCGCGCCGCAGACAAGGGCGAGGCGUGACGACGAAGCGAGUGCGCGAAGCCGGCGAGUCCAUGCUCCAUAUAAAAGCCCCUAGGGAGGACCCCGGGCGCCCGUACCAAAACCGACACAGGUGGACGGGUAGAGAAUACCGAGGCGAUCGGGAGAACUAUGGUUAAGGAACUCGGCACACUGACUCCGUAACUUCGGGAGAAGGAGUGCCCCCUGGACGUGACGGGACUCAGCUCCCCGAGCGCGUGGGGGUCGCAGCGAAAAGGUCCAAGCGACUGUUUAUCAAAAACACAGGACUCUGCUAAGUCGCAAGACGACGUAUAGGGUCUGACGCCUGCCCGGUGCUGGAAGGUCACGCGGAGGGGUCAGCCGCAAGGCGAAGCCCCGAAGCCAAGCCCCAGUAAACGGCGGCCGUAACUAUAACGGUCCUAAGGUAGCGAAAUUCCUUGUCGGGUAAGUUCCGACCUGCACGAAUGGCGUAACGACUUGGACGCUGUCUCAACCAUAGACCCGGUGAAAUUGUACUAUUCGUGAAGAUGCGAAUUACCCACGGAAGGACGGAAAGACCCCGUGAACCUUUACUGCAGCUUGACAUUGCUCGCCGGUUCGUCGUGUAGAGGAUAGGUGGGAGGCAUCGAAGCCGGGGCGCCAGCCCCGGCGGAGCCGCCCUUGGAAUACCACCCUCGUCGGACUGGCGAUCUAACCCGCGGCCGUCAUCCGGCGCGGGGACCGUGUCAGGUGGGCAGUUUGACUGGGGCGGUCGCCUCCCAAAGAGUAACGGAGGCGCGCGCAAGGUCCGCUCGGCCUGGUCGGCAACCAGGCUUCAGAGUGCAAGAGCGCAAGCGGGCUUGACUGCGAGACUGACAAGUCGGGCAGGGACGAAAGUCGGCUCUAGUGAUCCGGCGGCCCAGAGUGGAAUGGCCGUCGCUCAACGGAUAAAAGGUACUCCGGGGAUAACAGGCUGAUCUUGCCCAAGAGUCCACAUCGACGGCAAGGUUUGGCACCUCGAUGUCGGCUCAUCGCAUCCUGGGGCUGGAGCAGGUCCCAAGGGUACGGCUGUUCGCCGUUUAAAGCGGUACGCGAGCUGGGUUCAGAACGUCGUGAGACAGUUCGGUCCCUAUCCUCCGUGGGCGCAGGAGAACUGAGGAGAUCUGUCCCUAGUACGAGAGGACCGGGAUGGACGGACCUCUGGUGCACCGGUUGUCGGCCAACGGCACCGCCGGUUAGCUACGUCCGGAUCGGAUAACCGCUGAAGGCAUCUAAGCGGGAAGCCGGCUCCGAGAUUAGUCCUCCUUUCGGUAAGGCCCCUCGUAGACCACGAGGUUGAUAGGCCGCAGCUGCAAGCGCCGCGAGGCGCUCAGGCGAGCGGUACUAAUCGGCCGAGCUCUUCUCGC
rnacentral:rRNA from 1 species